rnacentral:lncRNA from 1 species
UUUGGUAUAGAUGACAGCAGUUGUGAUGGCCUAUCAUGAUUUUGAUGAUUUUUCACGGACGCCGUCAGCUUCUCUGCAAAAUUCAGCUCCUGCUGCCUGAGGUUGAUGACGACAAUGACAACCUAUCAGGAUCUUGACGAUGUGUCAUGAAGGUCGCCAUAAAACUUCCUGCAACUCACCUUUUGUGUUUAAGUUUGACGGCAUCCUUGACAGCCUAUCACCAGGCAGACGAUGUGUCAUGUAUGUCGUCAGCCACACUUAGCUCUUUAUUUUCUUCCAAUUUUAUACUUUUUGCUUCAUUUAUUUGUGGUUCUCCUUCUUCUCUACUUUUACUGCAAAACCAAAGUAAACUAAUCAAAAAUAACUAAAGUUGCUCAAGACUUUGCAAUUAUUUAGAGUUAAAAGCUUCAAAUGUGUUAGCGUGGGCUCACACAUCAACACCCCCAACAUAAACAUUUGCUUUUCCUCCAGUAACCUUAACAUAACUAAGAGUAUACAAAGUACAAUUUGGCGGUUAACUACUCAUAUCAGUUCAGAAUACAUCUACCAUCUCCAAGGUCAGUCAAAGUAAGAGCAACUGUGUCUAUUAUUGAAAACACCCAUGAAACUCACAAGGAUCAAGAUAUGGCAAAAAUUUCAGCAAUAACAACCAAGAACAUACCCAAAUCACACUAUCCGAAUAAGACAGUGAUCAGCAACAUACCUAGUGUACCCUCACAACAAAGAAAUCUUUUUUUCACUCAUAUUAGAAUUUAUACACACAGGGAUAAACACGAGACUCACUCUCAGAACGAAGUUCCACUAUUGCGCAUCAAAUGCCAUAGGCUUGCCCUUAUAGUCUGUACCUAAGUCUUCAAAUAGGUUAGUUAGGAUCACUAUAGGGUUUUUCUUAAGCUUGUAAUGUAGGCUAGUGGCUGGUAUGAUAUUCAUGGAUAUUUUAAAGUGACUAAGCCUCCUUGACACUACAUUAGAUCCUAGGGGUUUCAACUCUUAACCUUCUUUUCUUACCUCUUUUAUUGAUCAUGCAUGCUCAAUAUGGAUGCGGUCUUUUCAAUUAACUUAUUAUCUUUUUAUCAUUUUUCACACAAUUUUCUCUUUUCUUAUUUCUUUUUCACUGCACCCAACUCUUUAUUCAUCCUUCUCAUUCUACCUCUCUUCAUACACAGAUUGCAUCACGCACCCCUAUAAUAGCCACCCUCAACUUAGAUUAUUUGCCUAAGUCAAGGUGCACAGUGUCCAAGAAGGACCAAGGCCAAGACAGUUUCAUUGUGAUGUAAAUGGGAAGGUGAAAGGUGCACAAGAAAUAAAUAGGCUAUUUAGGCUCAAAGAAGGAGAAAAGGAUAUUAUUCACAUUGGGAAGGUCAUUUAGGCUAACGUGGGCUAGCAUGCAAAAACAGCCUAUUAUCCUUUCCUAAUGCCUAUCUAAUGACCAUGGCACGACUAACUGGGCAAGUUCUAGAUUCAAAUCAUAACAGGAACUGAGCAAGACCUUACACACAUAUAGAACACAAGUAUCUUACAUAUCACUACUCAUCUAGUUCAAGCAUUUGCUUAACACUGGGCAUUCAUUUACCAUACUAAUGCCACAAAAAGAUACAUAGUGGUCACAAUGGAUGAAAUUCACACAGUACACAAUUGAUCAGACCAGUGGAGAAGUACUCAUAAAUCACAAAAUAAGACAACUACCUCAAGUACUUGUACUACUCCUAAUUAUCUACAGAUUAUGUUACAACAACAAUUUACCCUAAACCCGUAACUAUAAUUAAAAAUAAAAAGCACUAACGGUUAGGGUAUACCUAAAGACAAUCAAGCAUGUGGAUCUUAGGUCUUCGACCCUGCUACUGUAUGAUCUGUUGUCUUCUCCCCAUUAGGAGCAUUUGGCCUGGCGGCGGUCGGAGCCUGACUAGAUGAAGCACCUGCAGCCCUAGCUCGAAUGGUUGUUUCCCAUUUCUCAUUACUAGCCAUAGACUCCAAUCUUGCCUUUCUCAACUCUUCUUUUUUAGCCUUCUAAUUUUCCUUCUUCUGUGCUUUUCUUUCUUUUUCACAAUCUGGCUCUUCUCUCUUAUUUUUGCCUUUUUUCCCCCUUUUUCUUCUUCUUCUUUGGGGAGUCUGCAGUGAGAUAAAGUAUAGGAAUUUCUUCCUCUAAUUCUUUCACAGUCGGACCUAUUGGCAUCUUAUUUGUUCUUGCUGCAGUACCCUAACCUUAGCCUUAACCUUAUCUAAUGCAGCCCUGAAUGUAGAAAAAUCAGCACCUAUCAUCUCUUUUUCCUGGGCAUCAAAUUUGUUCUCCAAAUCUGCAACUCACACAGGCAAUCUCACAAAAGGCUCUAGUGCAGCCUUGAUUCUUUUGUCCACAACAGCAGCAAACUGUUUGGCGAAGGCAGGUAGUUGGGCCUCACACCACUUGGCUUGCUUAGCCACCUUCCUGAUAUCAAUAGGAUAAAAUGCCAAACCUAUUACUGCUGGAGAAACUAAGAGAUUGGUAUCAGUCUCAGGCACUGAAGCUGCCUAUGCUGAAGAAUCCUGUGCAUCGACCUGAGGUGAUGCUCCUGCAUCUAUAACUAGUGGUUCUACUUCUACCUCUGCCCCCUCUUAUGUCUAAGUCCUAGCUGAAUCUCAUUAAACCAAAUGGGGUUGCGAGUCUUCUGGACACAAACGUCUUCGCCAACUCCAAAAAUCUUUUGCACCUCAGCAGCUCUGCACAACUUAUUAAUAAGACACGAAAAAGGAUAAACACUUUCGACCCUUGACAUCCUGAUCUUUACCUCAUCCAUAAUGAUUUCCCUAAAGUUCAAGGGAUGCUACGAAAAUAGCCCUGUCAUCGCCCAGAAUAUUGUCUCCCUCAGUAGGCAUUAGCCAAACUCGCACUAUGCCCCACCAAAAUUUUGCCUCCUGAGUCAAUGAGGACUUACAGAUUCUCUCAUUUGGUUUUGUAACCCAAGCCGGUUCUCCAUCAGUGAUUAUGUUGGCUAACAAAGGACACUGUUUGUCCUUAUUCUUUACCUGAGCAUAAAAUGAUGGUGUAGUGGCCAGAGGCAUGAAGUCGGAGCCAUGCAAGAAUCUAUUGAUGGUCUAGUCAAAACAUCAACGCUUACACCCCUCACCCAAAUACUCACUAGAAAAGAUUGAUCUACUACUUUUUCACCUGGUUUGUACAUAUUCUCCAACUAGGCUAGGUAAUUCGCAUAGAACUCCCAAACCAAUGUGGGCCAAAAUAAACCUCCCUUUUCUAUAGUCCAUCCUAAGCCGUAUUCUUUGACUUUCUUCUCCACUUUAGGGUAUCUGCUCAACCCUUUCAUGAUGAUUAUUUUUUCUUCUUGGAUUGGCCUCUUCGCGUUCCUUCUAUCAGUUCUUUACAACCCAGCAAUAUAGAUUUCUUUAGCUCUAGGGAAUUGCCAUCUAGCAUUGUUCCUCACUUCUGGCUUCUUACAUUUGAUAAGAGUCCUCUGAGGUGGAGACUCUUCAUCAUCUUAUUACUUAGUGGAUGGGGACCCGAAAGCUAUUCCUUCAAACUCAGAUUCUUCUUGAUCCUCCUCAUCAACUUUAGUAUGUUCAGACUCAUGUUGUUUAGACUCAACUUUUUCACACCCCUCUUGCUCAGAAGCUAUGUUUGACUUAGUAUCAUCACUUCCCUCUACCUCAAUUGGUGGAGGUGGUAGAGUUUUCUUUGGACUCUGCUUCUUCUUUAGCUUUCUGAGCAAGGGUUCCUCCUCGUCGUAGUCAGAUUCCUCGUUGAGGAUCUUAUGAUGUUUAUUAUCUUUAGCUACUUUCUUUGGUUCUAUGGAACUCUUUCUUUUUUUUUGCCAUUUAGACUACCUAGAGACAUUAGAAGAAUGAUAAUCAACCCUAAAGAUCACAAACACGAGUACAUUAAUAAUUUAAGCUCAUUUAUAUUUCAGGCCCUAGGUGUGACGACAAUUCAUGACAAGCCAUUACGACCGUGAUAGCUUAUCACGGUUGUCGUCAACCUUAGACAGAACCCAAAAGAAUUUUACACUUUCCGAUGACCUUCAUGAUAGACUGUCAUAAUUGUGAUAGCCCAUCACGACUGUCGUCGGCUCUAUCCACAACAAACUUUAGUUUUGUCAGCUUUUAACGAUAUUCUUGAUAAGUCAUCACAAUGGUGAUAGCCUAUCAUGGAUGUUGUCACACUUAUCAGAACCCACUUUUGACUUUGAUUAAAUUUUUGGUCCCCAUUCUUGCUCAAGAUUUACUUGAAUUUGAAUCAUAAGCUAUCUUUUCAACCCUUGGGCUUGUACAGCAUACCCUAGGUGCAAUUUUAGAAAUUUUCCAAGUUUGAACUUGGUUCAAUCACAUUGGGGACUUGAGUUAGCUUUCAUUCAGCAUAUAUCACAAGAAAAGAAGUGUUGAAGUAAAGUAUACCUAAUGGAGCUUUUAAUCUAGUGCCACACACAAGAAAAAGUAUGAAGGAAGUAGAUGUUCUUGAUUCUUAAGUGCAAACCACAUACUAAUUAACCUUUUUUUGCUUAGAGUUUUUUUCCGAGAAUGGAAACUAUUUUAACUAAGGAAAAAAAACACUAAAGAAUAAAAAGUUAAAAGUGGUGGAAAUUCGAAAAGGCUCGCGAUUUGGGCAUGGUCGGAUCUAAUUAAAAUUAGCCCCUGUUUUCAUAUUUUAGGCUUUGUUCUGACGAUGAUUUCUGACGGCUUGUUACGAUUGUGAUAGCCCGUCAAGAUCAUCAUCAAUAGUAGGCAGAGAAUUUCUCAAGUCUGAUCUAGCUGAUGGCAUUCGUGAUUGCUUAUCACAGUUGUGACAGCUUGUCACGGAUGUUGUCAUAACCUUCCAGCUGACCCUUUUCAUUUUUUCACUUUCUCUAUACUAAAUCCUAAUUUAAAAAAUAAAAACAGUUGUUCAAACAUAAAAAUUUUUGGUUGCCUCCCAUUAGCGUCUGGGUUAUUGUUACGGAACGACUGGGUUCUUUUGACUACUCAGAAUUUGCCAAGACAACCUCUUGAUACCCCUUUUUCAUCCUCAUAGAAGACAUCAACAAUUGAGAAGACAUUCAUAUCAUUUUUUUGUGACAUAGGUUGAUGCAUUUUGAAUUUUGCCUCCUUUUUACCGAGCCUAAAGUUAAUCUCAUUCAACUCCAUGUCAACUAUUACUCUUUCUAUUUCUAAGAGUGGCCUUCCUAAGAUAAUGGGUACCUCAAAGUCCAUAUCACAAUUCAAUACCACAAAAUUAGCAGAAAGAAUAAAGUCUUCUACUUUUACCAGCACAUCGUGCAAAAUUCCAACAGGCCACUUUAUUGACCUAUCUGUCAUCACCAGUCGCAUGUUAGUAGGUGCUGGAUCUUCUAAACCCAGCUUCUUACAUACAGCAAGUGGUAUCAGAUUCAAGCUGGCACCCAAAUCACAUAAUGCCUUUGCAACAUCCAGAGACCCAACCUUACAUGGAAUAGUGAAUGCACCUGGGUCGGCCAUUUUUUGCACUAAGAAUCGUGUGGAAAUUGCGCUACAAUGGUGGAGAUUGUCCACCUGCUCAGUGCUGACCUUCCUCUUCUUUACGAUGAGGUCUUUCAUGAACUUGGCAUAGCUUUGCAUUUGCUCAAGUUCCUCAACCAAAGGUACAUUAAUUGUCAAUUGCUUGAGCAUAGCCAUGAACUUGCCAAAUUUUGCCUCAUCAACCUUUUUCUACAAUCAUUGAGGAAAGGGAGGUGGAGGCCUAGGGAUAGUCUUUAACUCCACUUCCUCCUCCUUCUUAUCUUUUUUCUCCAAAAUAUCAACAAAACCAUCUAGCUUUUCACACUCCACUGGACUACUUUCUUUAGGUUCAUCAAUACUUACCUUGUUUUCCAGAGAUUUGCCCACAGAGGGGUCAUAUAACAACUUACCACUUCAAGUGAUAAUCGCCAUACAUGAACAACCAUUUUGUGGGUUUUGAACUGUAUCACUAGGUAAAGUACCAAUUUUUCUAUAGUUCAGUGUAGCAAAAAGUUAGUUCAUCUGUUGUUCCAACUGCUUAAUAGAAGUAAAGUGUGAGCUAACCAACUAACUGAGGGUAAAGAAUUCACUCUUUAAAGUAGUUACUCCCGAGUUGGUAGCUUUAACUCCCUUCAACAACUUUUCCAUCAUGUCCUUCAAAGACAUCUUACCAGAGCUAGUUGUUACAGCAUCCCUACUUCCAGGAGGAACAUACAAACCACUCCUGUCACUAUUAUUUCUCUAGUGUCCCUGCUCCCUAUAUUUAUAAUUAGGCUUGUCAUAGAAGUUUCGACCUUGGUUCCAUUGGCUAUUUCAUCGGAAACCCCGCUGAUUACUCACAUAGUUUGUCUCUAUAUCGGCACCUAUAGCAAUAGUACCUUGAGAUUCCACAGCCUUAACUAUUUCGGUCUUGUCUGACAGCAAGUGCUUGGUCAGAAAGUCUAUUUGUGUCAUUAAGUGGGCCAUGUCCUGGUCUCGCUCCUCAUCCUUUCUUCACUACUCUACAGUUACACCACAGGCAACAGUCGGGCUAGCUACUACAGAAUCUCUAUUCUGCCAUGCCUGACUCUGCUUAGUCAUUCUAUUCAGUAUAUCAGAAACAUCAAAGAAAAAGAUAUCAAUAAACAAACCACCUGCAGCAUUGUAUACAAUUGUCUUUGUCAUAGAGUUGAAAGCUCUGUACAAAGUUUACUUCAUGUGCAAGUCCGUCAUUUUUUGGUUUGGACAUUGUGCAAGCUUCUUCUUAAAUCUCUCCCAAGUUUCAUACAAUGCUUCAGUUGGGAGUUGUCUAAAGUUACUGAUUUCAUCCCUCAACUGUACCCUUCUUAAGGGUGGAAAGAACCAUUCUAGGAACACCUCUUUCAACUGUCUUUAGUUGGUUAUAGAAUUAGGGUCUAGCUCAUUUAACCACAUUGUUGCCUCUCCAGACAGAGACAAAGGGAACAAUCUCAACCAAAUCGCAUUCUGGCUCACUCUUGGAUUGUCAAAAGAUUUGCAAACAGUGAUGAAGUUCACCAAAUGCAUUUUCAGGUCAUCACCAGGUAAGCCUCCAAAUAACCCUUUCAGAUUCAGGAGUUGGAUCAUGGUGCUUGUUAUGCUGAAUUUUGCAACUGGUACCAAUGGUAGAGGAGUGUUAGUACCCAUUGCACCAGCUCCAUCCAUUCCUUCAUCAUCUUCAUUAGGCUUGUAUUAAAUAGGUUGUUGGUCAUACCUUCCUCAAAUUGGACGGUUUCUAUUGAUAUUUUGCUGCACUGGUGCAGAAAGUUGCUCAGCUUGCCUUGGGUUUUGAGGAUUUAGCAAUUCCUCAUCACCCAAGUCUUCUUUAUCAGGGUUCUGGUGAUGUGCUUGUUGACCCAAAAUCUAUACGUUAACUUGAUCCCUGGCCAAAGCAGCUAGUCUAUCCGCCUCCUGUUGUUCAGCCAUUUUCCCUAUCAGUUGAGAUUUUAGAUUGAUUAAAAAUAACGUUUCUCUGAAACUUCUUAUUUUUGGCAUAAAAACACAGUACCUACAAUAGACAAAAACAACAAAUAAAUAUAAAUCCAGAAAACUUAACUAAUAGCAAAUUAGCAUACACAAACUUUAAGUUUACAACAGUAUUCACCAGCAGUGGCGCCAUUUUUGAUAAUGCUCAAACUACACUCUUGAACGGGUGUAAGAAAUCGCUCUCAAUAUAAAACCCAACUAGUUUGGGGUCAAAUCCCACAAGGAAUAAGGUGUGAACUCAAGUUGUUUACGAAAUAAUUCACUUGUAGUUUACUGUUUCCUGAAAUGUGGGUUUAAAUUUCUUAUACUAUUAUUAGUCACUUUGAGAUUAAUGUUUGUAAUCAAUAUUUUUUGAGAUAACGGGGAUUAUGUUCACUAAGGUUUAUGGUAUAUGUCAGAUGCUACAAUAACUCAAGGUUCUCAAGAUGGUUAGGAUGACAAGCUAUCUCUAUCGAUAGUAUCAUUGAAUGUCUCUCCACCUAUUCAAGCGUCUACUUUCCUAAUUCUGUCGGAGUUAGGGAAUCAUAACUCACUACCCAGAUUUUACCUCAGGUUAAUAAACCUUGUUACAGUGCAGAUUAUUAAACGAAGCCUUUUCGAGUCCCUAUCGAUAAUUCACUUCCCACUGUUUAUGAUUUCUUUCUCAAGCAAAUCAAAGUAGGUAUGCCUAUUGUUUUCAACCAAUAGACAUAAGUUAGAAUAUCAGAAUUACCAAGAAAUCCUAACACCUAUUAAACCUUGAGUAGUUCAUCAACACCUUAUCAUGACCUAACCCUACAUUCCAUAACCCAGGUUAAGAGUGUUUAGCUACUCAUUAAGUAGAAAAUAAGCACACAAGUUGAAUUCAUAAUUUAAAGUAUUAACUUACAAUAAUGACAGAAAUCAAAAGUGUUCUUUCAAUUGAAUCACAAGGCAAACCACCAAAAUAUUUGUCUGAGAGAGAGAGAGAGAGAUGAAAAAGUCAUUUGUGGUAUGAUAUGUUAAUUAAUUGAUGGAUAAUAGAAAAAACCUAAAACAAGGAUUUAAAUAGUUAACCUUAAAUAAGAAAAUAAAAUUAAAGUUUUAGAUAUUCUUUAGAAUAGAUGACGGCGAUUGUGACG